AUCGCUUCUCGGCCUUUUGGCUAAGAUCAAGUGUAGUAAAGCACCAGAUAAAAAGUUAUUUUAUAUUUAUUCAUUUUGUAAGUGAACCAGCUAAUUUAUCAAAUGACCAGAUGUGAAAUUGUACCAUGAAGUAUUAUCAAUAGUUUUAGAAAGGUAUAUUCCCAA
ensembl:snRNA LOC120100356 U2 spliceosomal RNA